CAGCAGUCGCCACGGGAAUACGAAGGGGGCUAGCGUUGUUCGGAUUUACUGGGCGUAAAGCGCACGUAGGCGGACUUUUAAGUCAGGGGUGAAAUCCCGGGGCUCAACCCCGGAACUGCCUUUGAUACUGGAAGUCUUGAGUAUGGUAGAGGUGAGUGGAAUUCCGAGUGUAGAGGUGAAAUUCGUAGAUAUUCGGAGGAACACCAGUGGCGAAGGCGGCUCACUGGACCAUUACUGACGCUGAGGUGCGAAAGCGUGGGGAGCAAACAGGAUUAGAUACCCCUGUAGUCCCUGUCUCUUAUAC
rnacentral:rRNA from 1 species